UCUGUGUAUAAAGACACUGAGAUUUUAAGGCGAGCUCACGGUUUUUGACGAGAGAACAAGUACAGUAUCCAGCUUUACGAUGUCCGCAGCAAAUUCUGUAUUCAUCUUAAUCUUUGCAAUCACAAUCAUGACGAUAAAUAUGUCCUCAAGCACGGACAGCCGGAGCAGCAGUUCUUUUACGUGUCUAAGUCCCGGAAAGCCUUGCGAACAAGGUGACCCCAGUUCCUGCAACGGGACCUGCACUUGCGAACGACUCGGCAAUGAUGACGGCACAGCUUCGUACCAGUGCACGGAACCGCCUAUUGCGGUAUCAGGUUCCUCCGUUUAAUGGAAAUAAUGAGGCAAUAAAACUUGUCGCUCUUCAUAAAAA